rnacentral:rRNA from 1 species
UACGUAGGGUGCAAGCGUUAAUCGGAAUCACUGGGCGUAAAGGGUGCGUAGGCGGGUCUUUAAGUCAGGGGUGAAAUCCUGGAGCUCAACUCCAGAACUGCCUUUGAUACUGAAGAUCUUGAGUUCGGGAGAGGUGAGUGGAACUGCGAGUGUAGAGGUGAAAUUCGUAGAUAUUCGCAAGAACACCAGUGGCGAAGGCGGCUCACUGGCCCGAUACUGACGCUGAGGCACGAAAGCGUGGGGAGCAAACAGGG